rnacentral:piRNA from 1 species
UACUAGUAAACAACAGAAGGACUGAUGAUG